UCCGCAGGCGGGCAAUUAAGUCAGAGGUGAAAUCCCACAGCUCAACUGUGGAACUGCCUUUGAUACUGGUUGUCUUGAGUUAUAGUGAAGUAGAUAGAAUAUGUAGUGUAGCGGUGAAAUGCAUAGAUAUUACAUAGAAUACCGAUUGCGAAGGCAGUCUACUAACUGUAUACUGACGCUGAUGGACGAAAGCGUGGGGAGCGAACAGGAUUAGAUACCCUGGUAGUC
rnacentral:rRNA from 1 species